rnacentral:rRNA from 1 species
GAUGAACGCUGGCGGCGUGCCUAAUACAUGCAAGUCGAGCGAACGGACGAGAAGCUUGCUUCUCUGAUGUUAGCGGCGGACGGGUGAGUAACACGUGGAUAACCUACCUAUAAGACUGGGAUAACUUCGGGAAACCGGAGCUAAUACCGGAUAAUAUUUUGAACCGCAUGGUUCAAAAGUGAAAGACGGUUUUGCUGUCACUUAUAGAUGGAUCCGCGCUGCAUUAGCUAGUUGGUAAGGUAACGGCUUACCAAGGCAACGAUGCAUAGCCGACCUGAGAUGGUGAUCGGCCACACUGGAACUGAGACACGGUCCAGACUCCUACGGGAGGCAGCAGUAGGGAAUCUUCCGCAAUGGGCGAAAGCCUGACGGAGCAACGCCGCGUGAGUGAUGAAGGUCUUCGGAUCGUAAAACUCUGUUAUUAGGGAAGAACAUAUGUGUAAGUAACUGUGCACGUCUUGACGGUACCUAAUCAGAAAGCCACGGCUAACUACGUG